rnacentral:tRNA from 1 species
GACUCGGUGGCUGAGUGGUUAAAAGCGCUAGACUGUAAAUCUAGUGAUAUUGUCUACGCAGGUUCAAAUCCUGCCCGGGUC